CAUGUACUUCCCCUGGGGUUAAAUGUUAAAGGCCUCUCUGCCUUCACAUAAUCACAAUAUAUAUAUAUAUAUAUAUAUAUAUAUAUAUAUUUUUUUUUUCUAAUUGGGGUAGCCCCCAAAAUAUUGGGACAUAUAAAAAAAGACAACUCUGUUCCACAGAGUAGCUGUUGACAUUAUAGUUGCACAGGAACUUUGUUGACUCUAGAGAACCUCGGGCAAAUCGCACAUCCCCAUGGUGGCUACUUUGCAUGCGGAUGUCAUCCAUAUCAACUUCCGAUGCCAGUUUCUGCGCCUACCAUGGUGACCACGGGUAACGGGGAAUCAGGGUUCCAUUCCGUACAGGGACCCUGAAAAACGGCUACCACAUGCAAGGAAGGCAGCAG